AUUGAACGCUGGCGGCAGGCCUAACACAUGCAAGUCGAACGAGUGGCGGACGGGUGAGUAAUAUAUCGGAACGUGCCCGGUAGCGGGGGAUAACUCCUAGAAAGAGUGGCUAAUACCGCAUACUAUUGGAUCGGCCGAUAUCGGAUUGGCUUGUUGGUGGGGUAAAGGCUCACCAAGGCAACGAUCCCUAGCUGGUCUGAGAGGGCGACCAGCCACACGGGAACUGAGACACGGCCCAGACUCCUACGGGAGGCAGCAGUGGGGAAUUUUGGACAAUGGGGGAAACCCUGAUCCAGCCAUCCCGCGUGUAUGAGAAGGCCUUCGGGUUGUAAAGUACUUUUGGCAGAGAAGCGGUAUCUGCAGAAUAAGCACCGGCUAACUACGUGCCAGCAGCCGCGGUAAUUC
rnacentral:rRNA from 1 species